rnacentral:rRNA from 1 species
UACGAGGGGUCUAAGCGUUGUUCGGAAUCACUGGGCGUAAAGCGGGUGUAGGUGGCUAGACAAGUCAGAUGUGAAAUCCCCGGGCUCAACCCGGGAAGUGCAUCUGAUACUAUUUAGCUUGAGUACGGGAGAGGGAAACAGAAUUCCUGGUGUAGUGGUGAAAUACGUAGAUAUCAGGAGGAACACCGGUGGCGAAGGCGGUUUCCUGGCCCAGUACUGACACUCAGACCCGAAAGCGUGGGUAGCAAACAGG